CCUACGGGAGGCAGCAGUGGGGAAUAUUGGACAAUGGGGGGAACCCUGAUCCAGCCAUGCCGCGUGUGUGAAGAAGGCCCUCGGGUUGUAAAGCACUUUCAGUGAGGAAGAACGCCUGGUGGUUAAUACCCAUCAGGAAAGACAUCACUCACAGAAGAAGCACCGGCUAACUCCGUGCCAGCAGCCGCGGUAAUACGGAGGGUGCGAGCGUUAAUCGGAAUUACUGGGCGUAAAGCGCGCGUAGGUGGCUUGAUAAGCCGGUUGUGAAAGCCCCGGGCUCAACCUGGGAACGGCAUCCGGAACUGUCAAGCUAGAGUGCAGGAGAGGAAGGUAGAAUUCCCGGUGUAGCGGUGAAAUGCGUAGAGAUCGGGAGGAAUACUAGUGGCGAAGGCGGCCUUCUGGACUGACACUGACACUGAGGUGCGAAAGCGUGGGUAGCAAACAGGAUUAGAUACCCCAGUAGUC
rnacentral:rRNA from 1 species